rnacentral:rRNA from 1 species
GAGACCGAUAGCGAACAAGUUCCGUGAGGGAAAGUGAAAAAGAACUUGAAGAGAGAGUUCAAGAGUACGUGAAACCGUUUGGGAGUAAACGGGUGGUACCCGAAAUUUCGAAAGGGGAGAUUCAAGUCUCGCCGGCGUCGGGCGAGGGUCGCUUUUGUGGAUGGCGCGUCGGCGGGCGGGGGGCAACCCUCGUCCCGGGCGCGUCACCCGGCGACCUUCGAUUGACCGCCGUCGGUGUGACGCACUUCUCCCCGAGUAGGACGUCGCGACCCGUCGAGCGCCGGCCACGAGGGCCCGGGUGGAGUCAAGAGCCGCUCUCGAGCGGCCCCUGACCCCGGGAUCCCCGGCCGGGAGCCCGACGGUAGGAAGCGAGAAGUCGACGCGCCGAAAGGCGUCCGGCCCUCCGCGAGCACCCGCGGGGGAUCGGGUUCCGGACCCGGUCCGAUCCCGUUCCCACCGAGGGGCUGUCCGCGAUCAUGGAGGUGUCCUCGGACGGCGUCGAAUCCUUCUCCAGUCCGCGACGCUACGGCUUGGAUGGUCCACCCGACCCGUCUUGAAACACGGACCAAGGAGUCUAACAUGCGCGCGAGUCGUUGGGUCGGACACGCUCCGCUAAACCCAUAGGCGCAAUGAAAGUGAAGGCCGCCGUCGGGCGGCCGAGGGAGGACGGGGCCGCUCGCGCGUUCCGGCGCGCGACGGUCCCCGCACCCCCGGGGCGUCUGAUCCCUCAUCGCGAGGGGAGGCGCACCCAGAGCGCACACGUUGGGACCCGAAAGAUGGUGAACUAUGCCUGGCCAGGACGAAGUCAGGGGAAACCCUGAUGGAGGUCCGUAGCGAUUCUGACGUGCAAAUCGAUCGUCGGAGCUGGGUAUAGGGGCGAAAGACUAAUCGAACCAUCUAGUAGCUGGUUCCCUCCGAAGUUUCCCUCAGGAUAGCUUGCGCUCGGAGGAGAGUCUCAUCCGGUAAAGCGAAUGAUUAGAGGCCUUGGGGCCGAAACGGCUUCAACCUAUUCUCAAACUUUAAAUGGGUGAGAACUCCGGCUUGCUCGACUUGUCGAAGCCGGAGACGGGGCUCCGGCCCCCGGGAUCGGAGUGCAUAGUGGGCCACUUUUGGUAAGCAGAACUGGCGCUGUGGGAUGAACCAAACGACGGGUUAAGGCGCCCGAAUCGACGCUCAUGGGAAACCAUGAAAGGUGUUGGUUGCUUAAGACAGCAGGACGGUGGCCAUGGAAGUCGGAAUCCGCUAAGGAGUGUGUAAUAACUCACCUGCCGAAGCAACUAGCCCUGAAAAUGGAUGGCGCUGAAGCGUCGUGCCUAUACCCGGCCGUCGCGGCAGGGCGGACCCGCGAGGGUGCCGUUCGAUGCGGCGACGAGUAGGAGGGUCGCGGCGGCGCGCGCAGAAGGGUCUGGGCUCGAGCCUGCCUGGAGCCGCCGCCGGUGCAGAUCUUGGUGGUAGUAGCAAAUACUCCAGCGAGGCCCUGGAGGACUGAUGUGGAGAAGGGUUUCGUGUGAACAGCCGUUGCACACGAGUCAGUCGAUCCUAAGCCCUAGGAGAAAUCCGACGCCAACGGCGACGGGAAAAGCGAGAGAGACUGAGAAAGAAACCCGUUGAUCGGGCGAAAGGGUAAUCCGGUAAA